rnacentral:lncRNA from 1 species
UUCCAUGGAACCUUAAAUUUGUGAUAAUUAUGUUGCAUUGCUAAUUCAAACCUUUGCUUACUACUCUGCUAUCAAUUUACACACACACAAAAAAAAAGGAAACUACAAUUAUAAACUAUCUUAUUUACAGGGGGUUCACAAUUUAAAACUCACAAUACUUUCAAUGCAAUUCAAGAAGAUCAAAUCGAUUUUAACAAUGGAUCUUUACGUUAUGAACUUAGACAAUUGUCCAAGGUUGUCACAAGCGGCAGCUUUGGUGCCUGGAGCUUUCAUGGCCUUCAGCUGAGGAAGCCAUCAAGUGUCUACAUUGGCGCCUAGGAAGCAGCUGGCCAUCAAGUGCCUACAUUAGUCUCGAGCAAGCACCUUGUUCAUUGAUUUGUUGAAGCAGUAAAUUCUUUUAACUGUUUCUCUCUUUAAGAACAAAGUAUUUACUUAUAAAGAGAAAAAGAAGUUGGGUCCAUUUAUAACAUGUUCCCUUGGAUACAAACUGAUGUGCGAACAUUUUAUGUUUCUAACAAGCCUUAUAGACU